UAAAAAUAGGGGUGCAUGUAUCUUUUUAAGUUACUGUUUUCAUUUUCUUCAGAUGAACACCCAGAAGCGGAAUUACUGGAUUGUGUAGUACUUCUAUUUUUAAUUUUUCGAGGACCCUCCAUACUGUUUUCCAUAGUAGAUAAAGCAGU